AUUGAACGCUGGCGGCAGGCUUAACACAUGCAGGUCGAGCGGAGAGAGGUAGCUUGCUACUGAUUUUAGCGGCGGACGGGUGAGUAAUGCUUAGGAAUCUGCCUAUUAGUGGGGGACAACAUUUCGAAAGGAAUGCUAAUACCGCAUACGUCCUACGGGAGAAAGCAGGGGAUCUUCGGACCUUGCGCUAAUAGAUGAGCCUAAGUCGGAUUAGCUAGUUGGUGGGGUAAAGGCCUACCAAGGCGACGAUCUGUAGCGGGUCUGAGAGGAUGAUCCGCCACACUGGGACUGAGACACGGCCCAGACUCCUACGGGAGGCAGCAGUGGGGAAUAUUGGACAAUGGGCGGAAGCCUGAUCCAGCCAUGCCGCGUGUGUGAAGAAGGCCUUAUGGUUGUAAAGCACUUUAAGCGAGGAGGAGGCUACUUUAGUUAAUACCUAGAGAUAGUGGACGUUACUCGCAGAAUAAGCACCGGCUAACUCUGUGCCAGCCGCCGCAGUAA
rnacentral:rRNA from 1 species